rnacentral:rRNA from 1 species
AUGGGAGGAGAGUGGCUUGGCGCUCUCUCGGAGGAGGAGGAGCUUCGACGGCGGCCAGAAGUGAGGAUCAUUAACAAGUAUGCAGUCGUCUUUGCGUACAUUUGUAUUGGCCUGAAAGGCCAGAGUGCUCUGGUGCUUUUGUGGGCAACCGUCGUCCUUCUUGGCGGCUUCGUCUCGGAUCUGAGGAGCAUAGAUUUCCACUAUCUGACCAUCAUCGCGUUCGUGCAGGCUGCCGGGCUAUUCGACGCAAUGGGAGAAGAUCGGUUUUUGUUCUUUGGGGUUUGGUUUCACUCUCUUCUACGUAACAUUGUAUCCUGGGGAGACAAGCAUCAUGAUGAACGUACCCAGUUGCCUAUCAGACAAUGGCUGAAGAGACAAAUACAUAUACUCAAAUUAAAAAUAAUAGAUAUCACUCUGAUCGUGAUAUUUUCCCCAGCUAUGUACUUCGGCGUGGGUGGACCAAUUAUUUGUUCUGGCCUGUCUGGGCUUCGUCUAGCAAAGCAAGACUACGGCAUCGCCGACGGAGAUGCAAGUAAAGCAAAUCUGAAGCCGGCGCUGAACUUAUUCUACGGCGUAUCCUUUGCUCAGGGCGCAAUAUUCUUAUUGUGUACAAUGGGUGGAGUCAUUGCUGAGCGAUGGUUAAAUGAUAUUUUAAGCCAACGCCAUGGUUUCAGCCUCAAUGUACUUCUUGGAUACUCGCGUAAAACCAUGCACAUGGGUCUAAAUGACCCCGCUUCCAUAAGGAGCUGGAAUUUGAUCACAUAUGGUGCUGACUUGCUGGAUUCCCAAUGUUCGAAUGACUAUGCAGCUGGAGUACGGAUACUAACCAUGCUGAUUGAUCGUGAUAUACCGUUACAGAUAAGACGGCUGUUGAUCAGAUCACCGAAACAAAGAAUUCAGAAGCUGAUCGGAACCCUUGCUUGGAUAAGCCCAGCCGAGCAAGAGACGAGAUGGCUUGCAGCGACGAUUGUGGAGCAUCUCGCUGCUGACCUCAACCUUGCUCAUUUUCCAGGAGCAUUGGAAUGUGUAUCCUCCCUCUUUGAUGCUACCCAUUUACCAUUUGAAGCUGGGCAAGGAACUAAGGAUCUGGUUUUGCCAGGCUUGAGAAUUCUGCAUAACCUAGCUCAUGAUGGACAUAACUGCACAAUGAUAUACAGCACCAAGGGUCUUCUUUCAAAAAUAGUUGCGCCUCUCAGCUCCAAUGAAUUUGUAGAAGAUAUCAAGAGUAGUGUUGCAUGGACCAAGGUAGUAGACGUAUCACUCAAAGUGGUGACCCGGCUCAUGGGUUCGCCAGGAAGCACAGGCCAAGAGAUGCGAAGUCUAAUUGCAAAUGCUAGUCAUGUGGUCAGAAACCUGGAGGCCGUUCUGGACAUCGACAUGAAGAGUAACAGCAGCAUCAUAUGGCUACUGACGGGAGCUUUAGACGCUCUUACACGAUUAGUAUUGCAUCAUCCAGAAAGUGCGUCUGCAGGAAAACUUAUUGAGAGGGCACUGCACAUAUUUCUUUCAACAGAUUGGUUGGAAGAUUAUUUGAAACAUGAGAAGAACGUGAUGAAAAAAGCUAAGAAAACUGUAAGCCAGCUUAAAGAAUAUGCUGGUUUCGUAUUGGAAAUGUUGUCCAAUCAUCCAGAGGCUAUCAAGAGCUUCACAGUAUGCGAUGAUGACAUCCAUCGUCUUACUGAAUUGCUCGACUGCAAUAUUAAGACCACUGAAUGCAAAAUAAGUGCAACAGAGACAGUGGAAAUAGAUAUCAGCAUUGGCUCUCGUAUUAGCUCAGCAGUCAUCUUGAAGCAUUUGAGCAACUACGUCAAAUUGCCAACCUUACGGAAGGCACUCAGGCAAUUGCUUCCUGUACAACAAGAUGAGGCUUCCACUUUAAAGUGCCACAUCAAGGACAGGAUGAUGCAUGCAGCACUGUUAUCACUCGUCGUGACCAUAUGUGCGAACACCAGUAUUAAUCUUGCAGGAAUCUUGCUUUCGCAGACACCAUCGGAUACACUGGAAGAUUUUGUGGUGAGGCUCAAGAAGAUGGUGGAGGAAAACAUGUACGCCACCCCAACAUGCCUGGCGAUACAGAAGCUUACCUGCCAGAUGGUUACAGAAUUCAUGAAGCAUGAUCGAAACAUCCAAGUGAUUGAUAAGCACAAUAUCGUUGGCACGUUACUGAAGGCUUCAAAGACGAUGGCCGAGCUCGAGAGCAGCAUGCUUUUCGCUGCUGUCAUUCGUGACCGCUACGGGGUUCCUUUGAAGCCUCUUUCAUCUGUUCUCUCCAAAAACACAGAAGAUCUUUUGACACAGAGGAAACAGGCUCUUGGCAUCUACACUGUGCCUGCCUCUGUACCAAUACCACUACCAUGA